CCUGGAGGGACGCAACGAGGUAGGCCAGCCCACGAUUGGUUGUGUGGGUGUAUUGCAUGUCAGCCGUUGAGAUCUAUAGGAAAAUCCGUAGGUCGAGGUGAGAUGCCGUAACGAGCCUAUAAGGCGUAAGUGAGUUGAGCCUUGCUGCCAAGAAAAGCUUCUAAACGAUGAAACUCGAGUGCCUGUACCGCAAACCGACUCUGGUAGAUGGGUAGAGUAUACCAAGGCGAACGGGAGAACCCUUGUUAAGGAACUAGGCAAUUUAGCCACGUAACUUCGGGAUAAGUGGUGCCCUUCGACGUGAAUGAAUAAUGAGCGUUGGGGGGUCGCAGUGAAAUGGUUCUAGGGACUGGUUACCAAAACCACAGGUCUCUGCAAAGUCGUAAGACGAUGUAUAGGGGCUGACACCUGCCCAGUGCCGGAAGGUUAAAGGGAGGGGUUAGGCGCAAGCCGAAGCUCUGAACUGAAGCCCCGGUGAACGGCGGCCGUAACUAUAACGGUCCUAAGGUAGCGAAAUUCCUUGUCGGGUAAGUUCCGACCCGCACGAAAGGUGUAACAACUAGAACAGUGUCUCAACAAGGGACCCGGCGAAAUUGAAAUGGCCGUGAAGAUGCGGCCUACCCGCAGUAGGACAAAAAGACCCCGUGGAGCUUUACUGCAGCUUGGCAUUGAGUUUGGAUUUCGUUUGUGUAGGAUAGGUGGGAGGCUAUGAAGCUAGGGCGCCAGCCUUGGUGGAGCCACCCGUGAAAUACCACCCUGAUGAAAUUUAGACCCUAACCCCAUACCGUGAUCCGGAUGGGGGACCGUGCCAGGUGGGCAGUUUGACUGGGGCGGUCACCUCCCAAAGUGUAACGGAGGUGCCCAAAGGUUCCCUCAGGCUGAAUGGAAACCAGCCUAAGAGUGUAAAGGCAUAAGGGAGCUUGACUGCAAGGCCAACGCGCCGAGCAGAUACGAAAGUAGGGCUUAGUGAUCCCACGGUUCCGAGUGGAAGGGCCGUGGCUCAUCGGAUAAAAGCUACCCCGGGGAUAACAGGCUAGUCAGGUCCAAGAGUUCAUAUCGACGACCUGGCUCGGCACCUCGAUGUCGGCUCAUCGCAUCCUGGGGCUGGAUAAGGUCCCAAGGGUCGGGCUGUUCGCCCGUUAAAGCGGUACGCGAGCUGGGUUCAGACCGUCGUGAGACAGGUCGGUCUCUAUCCACUGUGGGCGUAAGUGAUUUGAAAGGAUCUGUUCCUAGUACGAGAGGACCGGAAUGGACAGACCUCUGGUUUGCCAGCUGUCGUGCCAACGGCAUAGCUGGGUAGCUACGUCUGGCAAAGAUAACCGCUGAAAGCAUCUAAGUGGGAAACUUGCCUUAAGAUUAGAUCACUUUUAUCGUCAAGAUAGUAAGAUUGCAGGUAGACCACCUGCUUGAUAGGCAGAAUGUGUAAGCGCAGCAAUGCGUUGAGCUAAACUGUACUAAUGAUCGAGGGCUUCAAACG
rnacentral:rRNA from 1 species